rnacentral:rRNA from 1 species
GACGAACGCUGGCGGCGUGCUUAACACAUGCAAGUCGAACGGAAAGGCCCUGCUUUUGUGGGGUGCUCGAGUGGCGAACGGGUGAGUAACACGUGAGUAACCUGCCCUUGACUUUGGGAUAACUUCAGGAAACUGGGGCUAAUACCGGAUAGGAGCUCCUGCUGCAUGGUGGGGGUUGGAAAGUUUCGGCGGUUGGGGAUGGACUCGCGGCUUAUCAGCUUGAUGGUGGGGUAGUGGCUUACCAAGGCUUUGACGGGUAGCCGGCCUGAGAGGGUGACCGGCCACAUUGGGACUGAGAUACGGCCCAGACUGCUACGGGAGGCAGCAGUGGGGAAUAUUGCACAAUGGGCGGAAGCCUGAUGCAGCAACGCCGCGUGCGGGAUGACGGCCUUCGGGUUGUAAACCGCUUUCGCCUGUGACGAAGCGUGAGUGACGGUAAUGGGUAAAGAAGCACCGGCUAACUACGUG